ACGGCGAGUGAAGCGGCAACAGCUCAAAUUUGAAAUCUGGCCUCACGGUCCGAGUUGUAAUUUGUAGAGGAUGUUUCGGGCACCGCCGCGGUGUAAAUUUCUUGGAACAGAAUGUCAGAGAGGGUGAGAAUCCCGUCGUCGACCGCGGUAGGGCCCAUGUGAAACUCCUUCGACGAGUCGAGUUGUUUGGGAAUGCAGCUCAAAAUGGGUGGUAAAUUUCAUCUAAAGCUAAAUAUUGGCCAGAGACCGAUAGCGCACAAGUAGAGUGAUCGAAAGAUGAAAAGCACUUUGAAAAGAGAGUUAAACAGUAUGUGAAAUUGUUGAAAGGGAAGCGCUGGCAACCAGACUCGAGCGCGGUGGUUCCCCCCGGUUUCUGCCGGGGUUAUUCCACCGUGACCGGGCCAUCAUCAGUUUUGGGGGUCGGUCAAAGGCGCCGGGAAUGUACCCACUCCUUCGGGGGUGGACUUAUAGCCCGGCGUGUCAUGCGGCCUCCCGGGACUGAGGAACGCGCUUCGGCGAGGAUGAUGGCGUAAUGGUUGUCAGCGACCCGUCUUGAAACACGGACCAAGGAGUCUAACAUCUAUGCGAGUGUUCGGGUGUCAAACCCUUGCGCGUAAUGAAAGUGAACGGAGGUAGGAAGGCCUGAGCCUGCACUAUCGACCGAUCCUGAUGUCUUCGGAUGGAUUUGAGUAAGAGCAUAGCUGUUGGGACCCGAAAGAUGGUGAACUAUGCGUGAAUAGGGUGAAGCCAGAGGAAACUCUGGUGGAGGCUCGCAGCGGUUCUGACGUGCAAAUCGAUCGUCAAAUUUGCGUAUAGGGGCGAAAGA
rnacentral:rRNA from 1 species